rnacentral:rRNA from 1 species
UACAGAGGGUGCAAACGUUGCUCGGAAUCAUUGGGCGUAAAGCGCACGUAGGCGGUCCAGCAAGCGGGGAGUGAAAGCCCUCGGCUUAACCGAGGAAGUGCUUUCCGAACUACUGGACUUGAGUACUGAAGAGGGUCGCGGAAUUCCCGGUGUAGAGGUGAAAUUCGUAGAUAUUGGGAAGAACACCGGUGGCGAAGGCGGCGCUCUGGACCGAGACUGACGCUGAGGCGCGAAAGCGUGGGGAGCAAACAGG